ensembl:misc_RNA Metazoa_SRP Metazoan signal recognition particle RNA
GCCAGGCAUGGUGGCACAUGCCUGUAGUCCCAGCUACCUGGGAGGCUAAGACAGGAGGAUCACUUGAGCCUAGGAGGUUGAGGCUGCAGUGUGCCAUGAGCACACCACUGCACUCUAGCCUGGGUAACAAAGUAAGACCCUGUCUUUU